AGAAUCUUCAGAAAGUCCCUUUCAGAAAGCUUGUGAUGAGAUGAUGUGAGGGAUGUGGCAGUCUUACAUUGGAAGCAAGAUAAUUGAUUUGAGUUUGUUCUGCCACUGCAGCUGGUUACAACAAGCAGCCUGCCCUCUGCAAGAGCAGAGCAAGAGGAGAGCAGGUCUGAGCACUUCUGCUGGGGUGAAGUUCUCUGGCUUUCAGUGUUUGCACAGUGAAUUCAGUGUCAACAUACACACAGACAGCAGAUCUCAGAGGAGUCAGAGGCACAUUCCCAGAAGAGUAACAAUCCAAAGUUUUCACUUCCAGUGAAAUGCUGUCUGAGAAGUGCUGGAAAAAGAAAGUGUGGGCAGGAAGAGAGGGAGACACCACAUCUUCUUGAGGGACACCAUGACUUACCAACUUUGUGUCAAAGCUUUUCUUUCAGCUAAGGAGUCAGCAAGCAGAAGAGGAGCAGUGAAUUCCAACAUCCAGCAACAUGUACAAGGUACUGAUAAAGGCUCUGAAAAUCAGUAUUCACACCUCAGGAGAGUAGAAAUAACUGAAAGGAGUUUUUUCACUUGA